GCCCGCCUAGCUCAAUCGGAUAGAGCGUCAGACUUUUAAGGCGGGAGUCUUGAUCUGAAGGCUGCGAGUUCGACCCUCGCGGUGGGCU